UCCACGUGAGUGCUCGUCAUCAAUGGCUCC
rnacentral:piRNA from 1 species